CUGAAUGCGUGAAUAGUACCCUGAGUAGUAGGUUGAAAGGGUAUUUCAGCUGCGCAUGCGCCUCAGACGAUUGCGGGCAGCACGCGGCCGUGCGCACCGUUUAAACGGACUUUGGACUUCUUGUUUAAUGUUGUCGAACAGAGUCGAAUUCAAGCAGAAGGCUUCAGUGGGACAUUUUGCGUUUUUCUUUCCUGUGGUUGAACCGGACACCAGCUCAUACGAGGACUUCUCUCCGGUUGAUACCUGAACUACCCAGCUGCACCUCCAGACGGUGUCCAUCUCAAUAACUCUAGAAGACGUUACCCAGAGGCUCUCUCUUUUGUUUGAAUUCGAGUAUGCAUUUUAUAUAGACUACUCUGCAGGUGGCAAGUAUCCGUGUCUUCUACAGCAGCGGCAGAACCUUCAGUUUUAAUGUGAAAGGUGCUUUCUCCACUUAAUUAAAGGGGCUUGUUGUAGCUUUGAAUACCAUUGUAGUUUUUCUGUUGUACGUUUUUUUGUUUUGUUCAGUUUAUGGAAGUACAGUUUUGUACAGUACAAUUUUGUAUUUAAGGAUUGUAUUAGUAGCCUACAAUUUGUGAAAAAUUAGAAA